UGUCUUGCUCUGUUAAACAUUAUUUGGGAAAUAUUUAAAAAAGAAAAAAAAUCACAGGAGGGCACAGUGGUUACAUGGCAUUGUGUUACAUUAAAUCAAGUUUAUUUUAUUGAUAUAUUGCUUAAUUAAUAGAUAGCAUAAGUAAAGGUUUUUAUGAUUUUUAUGCUGCUAAAAUGUAUUUUAAAGUGAGAAUAAACAUGUUUAUGCUUUAAUCUUAUUUGUGAAGGUCCAAGAAGGGGACCUUCAGUUGUUUAUGAAAAUGAUGGACCUGCAUCAUAUCCCAGUUCUGCUGUGCAGCAUGGGCAACAUCCUCAGAGAGCCUUCACAGCUGUUCCUGAGCCAACUAGUCAUUCAUCAGAUGUAAAACCAUACUAUGUCAACCAGGCAGAGCUUUCCAUCUCAACAAAUGCUGGCAAAAAACGCAAAAAACAAAAGCCAGCCUACCAGUUUAAAAACCCAAUAUACGGAGAAUGAAGCAUCAGAUGUCAGACUGCGAUGACAGUUCUACAGCGCACACAAUUUUAUUACAGACAUUUUUUACUAAACAGUUCAAUAUCUUAAUAAAUGUUGAUGUUCAAUGUC